rnacentral:rRNA from 1 species
GACGAACGCUGGCGGCGUGCUUAACACAUGCAAGUCGAACGGAAAGGCCCUGCUUUUGUGGGGUGCUCGAGUGGCGAACGGGUGAGUAACACGUGAGUAACCUGCCCUUGACUUUGGGAUAACUUCAGGAAACUGGGGCUAAUACCGGAUAUGAGCUCCUGCUGCAUGGUGGGGGUUGGAAAGUUUCGGCGGUUGGGGAUGGACUCGCGGCUUAUCAGCUUGUUGGUGGGGUAGUGGCUUACCAAGGCUUUGACGGGUAGCCGGCCUGAGAGGGUGACCGGCCACAUUGGGACUGAGAUACGGCCCAGACUCCUACGGGAGGCAGCAGUGGGGAAUAUUGCACAAUGGGCGGAAGCCUGAUGCAGCAACGCCGCGUGCGGGAUGACGGCCUUCGGGUUGUAAACCGCUUUCGCCUGUGACGAAGCGUGAGUGACGGUAAUGGGUAAAGAAGCACCGGCUAACUACGUG